AUUGAACGCUGGCGGCAGGCUUCACACAUGCAAGUCGAGCGAGCGGCGGAAGGGUGAGUAAUGUCUGGGAAACUGCCUGAUGGAGGGGGAUAACUACUGGAAACGGUAGCUAAUACCGCAUACCAUCAGAUGUGCCCAGAUGGGAUUAGCUAGGAGGUGGGGUAAUGGGUCACUUAGGCGACGAUCCCUUGCUGGUCUGAGAGGAUGAGCAGUCAUACUGGAACUGAUACACGGUACAGACUCCUAAGUGAGGCAGCAGUGGUGAAUAUUGCACAAUGGGCGCAAGCCUGAGGCAGCCAUGCCGCGUGUGUGAAGAAGGCCUUAGGGUUGUAAAGCACUUUCAGCUAGGAGGCGUUACUCGCAGAAGAAGCACCGGCUAACUCCGUGCCAGCCGCAGCGGUAAUAC
rnacentral:rRNA from 1 species